rnacentral:rRNA from 1 species
AGCGAACGCUGGCGGCAGGCUUAACACAUGCAAGUCGAACGAGAAACUAGACUUCGGUUUAGUGGAAAGUGGCAGACGGGUGAGUAACGCGUGGGAAUCUACCUUUGAGUGGGGAAUAACAACUAGAAAUGGUUGCUAAUACCGCAUAUACCCUCCGGGGGAAAGGCUUCGGCCGCUCUUAGAUGAGCCCGCGUACGAUUAGUUUGUUGGUAAGGUAAAGGCUUACCAAGACUACGAUCGUUAGCUGGUUUGAGAGGAUGAUCAGCCACACUGGGACUGAGACACGGCCCAGACUCCUACGGGAGGCAGCAGUGGGGAAUAUUGGACAAUGGGCGAAAGCCUGAUCCAGCCAUGCCGCGUGAGUGAAGAAGGCCUUAGGGUUGUAAAACUCUUUCGGCAGGGAAGAUAAUGACGGUACCUGCAGAAGAAGCUCCGGCUAACUCCGUGCCAGCAGCCGCGGUAAUACGGAGGGGGCAAGCGUUGCUCGGAAUUACUGGGCGUAAAGCGAGCGUAGGCGGUUAAUCAAGUUGGUGGUGAAAGCCCAGAGCUUAACUCUGGAACUGCCAUCAAAACUGAUUGACUAGAGAUUGGUAGAGGAAAAUGGAAUUCCUAGUGUAGAGGUGAAAUUCGUAGAUAUUGGGAAGAACACCAGUGGCGAAGGCGAUUUUCUGGGCCAAUUCUGACGCUGAGG